rnacentral:rRNA from 1 species
UGGAGGCAGCAGUAAGGAAUAUUGCAUAAUGGGCGAAAGCCUGAUGCAGCAACGCCGCGUGCGCGAUGAAGGCCUUCGGGUCGUAAAGCGCUUUUCAGAGGGAUGAGGAAGGACAGUACCUCUGGAAUAAGUCUCGGCUAACUACGUGCCAGCAGCCGCGGUAAAACGUAGGAGGCAAGCGUUAUCCGGAUUUACUGGGCGUAAAGCGCGUGCAGGCGGUUUGGAAAGUUGGAUGUGAAAGCUCCUGGCUUAACUGGGAGAGGUCGUUCAAUACUUCCAGACUUGAGUAUGGUAGAGGGAGGUGGAAUUCCGGGUGUAGUGGUGAAAUGCGUAGAUAUCCGGAGGAACACCAGUGGCGAAAGCGGCCUCCUGGACCAUUUCUGACGCUCAGACGUGAAAGCUAGGGUAGCAAACGGGAUUAGAUACCCGCGUAGUCCG